UACGUAGGGUGCGAGCGUUGUCCGGAAUUACUGGGCGUAAAGAGCUCGUAGGUGGUUUGUCGCGUUGUCCGUGAAAACUCACAACUCAAUUGUGGGCGUGCGGGCGAUACGGGCAGACUGGAGUACUGCAGGGGAGACUGGAAUUCCUGGUGUAGCGGUGGAAUGCGCAGAUAUCAGGAGGAACACCGAUGGCGAAGGCAGAUCUCUGGGCCGUUACUGACGCUGAGGAGCGAAAGCGUGGGGAGCGAACAGG
rnacentral:rRNA from 1 species